GUGGGGCAGUCAGCACCCUGCUAGGGUAAAUUUUGCCUGCUGAGAAGGGGAUAAGCCACCUGAGAAAAAUAAAGUCUGAAAUAGUGAAGAAAUAAGAGUCAGAGCCAGGAAAUAGUUUUAAAAGGGAUGGAGCGCCGGAUAGUUUCUUCCAGCCCAUACAGGAGCUGGAAUUUAGAAUGACUAGAAAAUGGCACCAGUUCUUUAAUUAAGGGAGUACAUCUAAAAGCAGGGAUAAGGUUUCAGCAGGAAGAGUCUUGCUUCUCCGUGUGGCAGGGGACUUGCCGCAAACAGAUUGAUUGGCAUCUUGGCAGACCACACCCAUCUCUGAGAGGCUGUGUGUCUAUGUGGCUGCAGCAGGUCACCCCAUCUUCGGUGUUGUGCAGGACCUUUGACAGAGCUGGCUGGGAGUUCACAUGUAUUUGGGCCAUCUCUCCAGCAGGAAUGCUGCUGUAAGUUCCCAGAUACUAGACUUUCCCACUCAAUGGUUUCCAUGCCCAUGUGGU
rnacentral:lncRNA from 1 species